CAUGAAUCACCCAGCGCCCUGGUGAUUCAUGUGUACAUUAAAGUUUGCAAAUAGCCAUGAUUUUUCUGCUUCUUUAGGUAAUGGAGAGUCUUAUAAUGACUUUAGGCUACAAGUAUAGUUUCAAUUUCUAAAUCAGGAUGCCCAUUCUAGAUGUUAAUCAGACCUCCAGUCUUUAUCCAAAGAAAGAAAUGGAAAAUCGGGUUGUGACGCAACAUCUAUCAAGCAGAAGUAAAGGAUGAGAGGGUACAGUUGUUACAGCUCUAAGCCUUAACAGUGAAACUUAACUGAAGAAGGAUAUGGACCUGAUGAGAACGAGGCCUCCUGAGGACAAAUCACACUAGCUCUGCAGAGGAUUGAUGGCUCCAGUAGGCAGAUGGGAAAACCCAUCAAAAUGGGACUUUCCAGGAACAUAACCAUGAAAUUGCAAUUGAAAUGGCUUCUCACUUUUCUUCUUUUAACUAAGUGAGAGUAAAGUCACCAUGCAGGAUGGCAUACUGAUCUGUGCAUGUGUGUAUCUUGGUGUAUUCAUGUUGGAAAGGCUCUUAAGAAAAAAGCUGCUAAGAAUGAGAACUCAAUUUUGAGGAUUUGUCUUAAAGUUUCUUCAAAAAGAUUUCUCAAUGCAAAUGGUACACUUAUUUAAUAUACGGCUAAGGUUAGCAUAGUCUGCCUGCUGCUACCACAGCCCAUCAGUCUGUCUAGCUGCACUGGGGCAGGGGGUGCACCUGGGUUAAGUCUAACAGAACUCUGACCCUUUUUUUUUUUUUUUUUUGAGAUGGAGUUUCACUCUUGUUGCCCAGGCUGGAGUGCAAUGGCACGAUCUCGGCUUACUGCAACCUCCGCCUUCCAGGUUCA
rnacentral:lncRNA from 10 species